rnacentral:rRNA from 1 species
UACGUGGGGGGCAAGCGUUGUUCGGAAUUACUGGGCGUAAAGGGCUCGUAGGCGGCCAACUAAGUCAUACGUGAAAUCCCUCGGCUUAACCGGGGAACUGCGUGUGAUACUGGAUGGCUUGAGAUUGGGAGAGGGAUGCGGAAUUCCAGGUGUAGCGGUGAAAUGCGUAGAUAUCUGGAGGAACACCGGUGGCGAAGGCGGCAUCCUGGCCUGUUCUUGACGCUGAGGCGCGAAAGCUAGGGGAGCAAACGGG